GACGAACGCUGGCGGCGCGCCUAACACAUGCAAGUCGAGCGAUGAAAUUUUAACCGAUCUCUUCGGAGAGAAGAUAAAAUGGAUUAGCGGCGGACGGGUGAGUAACACGUGAGAAACCUGCCUUUCACAAGGGGAUAGCCUCGGGAAACCGGGAUUAAUACCCUAUGACACAUUUCCUUCGCAUGGAAGAAAUGUUAAAACUCCGGUGGUGAAAGAUGGUCUCGCGCCUGAUUAGCUAGUUGGUGGGGUAACGGCCCACCAAGGCCAUGAUCAGUAACCGGAGGGGGCGGGGGAACGGUAAAAGUGGAAGAGAGACACGGUCCAAACUCCGACGGGAGGCAGGAGGGGAGAAUCAUGCACAAUGGACGAAACGCUGAUGGAGGGAGGCCGCGUGGGAGACGAAUCGUUUCUAGUCGUAAGGCUCUGUCCGGGGAGGAGAGAAAGACGGGACCAUAGGAGGACUCCGGGGUAAACUACGGGCCAGCAGCCGCGGUAAUAGGUAGGAAGAGCACCAGACC
rnacentral:rRNA from 1 species